rnacentral:rRNA from 1 species
ACUCAAAGGAAUUGACGGGGACCCGCACAAGCGGUGGAGUAUGUGGUUUAAUUCGACGCAACGCGAAAAACCUUACCUAGGCUCGAACGACUAGAAGUAGAAUCUAGGAAACUAGAGACGACCUGUAAAAUCAGGAGCUAGCCGAGGUGCUGCAUGGUUGUCGUCAGCUCGUGUCGUGAGAUGUUGGGUUAAGUCCCGCAACGAGCGCAACCCCCAUCCUGUGUUGCUAAUCCGAAAGGAUGCACUCUCAGGAAACUGCCCACGAUGAGUGGGAGGAAGGUGGGGACGACGUCAAAUCCCCAUGGCCCUUAUGUCUAGGGCUACACACGUACUACAAUGGCGCAUACAGAGGGCUGCAAUACCGCAAGGUGGAGCCAAUCCCUAAAGUGCGCCCCAGUUCAGAUUGUGGGCUGCAAUUCGUCCACAUGAAGGUGGAAUCGCUAGUAAUCGCGAAUCAGAAGGUCGCGGUGAAUACGUUCCCGGGUCUUGCACACACCGCCCGU